CACGGGCAAAGCAGCGCCAGCCCAGCACCCGCAAGACAGCUGCCAUGGAGUGCUUCGCUGCCUCUUCUACUGAUUGUGGGGAGAACAGCGACGUGCACGUAUUCGUACCGGAGCCAGAAGAGGAGCCCGACAACCCAGGCAGGUGGGCCUCAAGUGGAUGGCCUGCAUCGCCUGAGCCAUGUUGUCGGCAGCCGGCAAGUCCCAGUGACUUCACACACGAAAACACCACACAGAGGUCACCAGUGGGCACAGGUGGUAAUGA
rnacentral:lncRNA from 1 species